UUUCCUCCGCCCUCGGGAGGCUUAAACGAGAGGGACGGCGCACCGGGGAGAGGCCCCGGAUAUACAAGCCAAAUCGACGCCGGAGAAGGAGAAAA
rnacentral:ncRNA from 1 species